rnacentral:misc_RNA from 1 species
GGAGAGGAGUUCAAUUUUUCUGUUGAUGAGCUUCCUGUCCAGAUUAAUGUAACAAUAUAUGAUUGGGAUAUAAUUUGGAAAAGCACUGUUUUGGGCUCUGUAACUGUUUCCGUUGAAAAUGAAGGUCAAACUGGUGCAGUAUGGUACACAUUGGAUAGCCCAUCUGGGCAGGUUUGUCUCCAUAUUAAAACAAUAAAGCUACCGGUAAAUUCUUCCAGGGUUAUGAAUGGAAAUGCUCGAAGAAGGAUUUCUUUAGAUAAACAAGGGCCUACAAUGGUUCAUCAGAAACCUGGGCCUCUGCAAACAAUAUUUAACCU